AGAAUCAACGCUGGCGGCGCGCUUAACACAUGCAAGUCGAGCGAGAAAGGGGAGCAAUCCCCGAGUAAAGCGGCGUACGGGUGAGUAACACGUGGAUCAUCUACCUUUUAGUGGGGAAUAACCCUGGGAAACCGGGGCUAAUACCGCAUAAUCCUGUGAAGGGAAAGCAGUAAUGCGCUGAAAGAGGAGUCCGCGGCCGAUUAGCUAGUUGGUGAGGUAACGGCCCACCAAGGCGACGAUCGGUAG
rnacentral:rRNA from 1 species